AAUAAGCUAUUUAAGAGCGUAUGGGGGAUGCCUAGGCUCUCAGAGGCGAAGAAGGACGUGAUAAGCUGCGAUAAGCUGCGGGGAUUGGCACACACAAUUUGAUCCGCAGAUUUCCGAAUGGGGAAACCCACUAUAUUGAAGAUAUAGUAUCCGUUAAGGAGGUAAACCCAGGGAACUGAAACAUCUAAGUACCUGGAGGAAAAGAAAACAAAAGUGAUUCCGUUAGUAGUGGCGAGCGAACGCGGAUUAGCCCAAACCAAAGUUGUUUCGGCAUUUUGGGGUUGUAGGACCACGACAUUGAAUGUUUAAUGAAUUAGAAUUCUUUGGAAAAGAAACCAUAGAGGGUGAUAGUCCC
rnacentral:rRNA from 1 species